rnacentral:rRNA from 1 species
GAUGAACGCUGGCGGCGUGCCUAAUACAUGCAAGUCGAGCGAACGGACGAGAAGCUUGCUUCUCUGAUGUUAUCGGCGGACGGGUGAGUAACACGUGGAUAACCUACCUAUAAGACUGGGAUAACUUCGGGAAACCGGAGCUAAUACCGGAUAAUAUUUUGAACCGCAUGGUUCAAAAGUGAAAGACGGUCUUGCUGUCACUUAUAGAUGGAUCCGCGCUGCAUUAGCUAGUUGGUAAGGUAACGGCUUACCAAGGCAACGAUGCAUAGCCGACCUGAGAGGGUGAUCGGCCACACUGGAACUGAGACACGGUCCAGACACCUACGGGAGGCAGCAGUAGAGAAUCCUCCGCGAUGGGGGAAAGCCUGACGGAGCAAAGCCGCGUGAGGGAUGAAGGUCUUCGGAUCGUAAAACGCUGUUAUCAGGGAAGAACAUAUGUGUAAGUAACUGUGCACAUAUUGACGGUACCUAAUCAGAAAGCCACGGCUAACUACGUG